rnacentral:rRNA from 1 species
GACGAACGCUGGCGGCGUGCUUAACACAUGCAAGUCGAACGGAAAGGCCCUGCUUUUGUGGGGUGCUCGAGUGGCGCACGGGUGAGUAACACGUGAGUAACCUGCCCUUGACUUUGGGAUAACUUCAGGAAACUGGGGCUAAUACCGGAUAGGAGCUCCUGCUGCAUGGUGGGGGUUGGAAAGUUUCGGCGGUUGGGGAUGGACUCGCGGCUUAUCAGCUUGUUGGUGGAGUAGUGGCUUACCAAGGCUUUGACGGGUAGCCGGCCUGAGACGGUGACCGGGCACAUUGGGACUGAGAUACGGCCCAGACUCCUACGGGAGGCAGCAGUGGGGAAUAUUGCACAAUGGGCGGAAGCCUGAUGCAGCAACGCCGCGUGCGGGAUGACGGCCUUCGGGUUGUAAACCGCUUUCGCCUGUGACGAAGCGUGAGUGACGGUAAUUGGUAAAGAAGCACCGGCUAACUACGUG